rnacentral:piRNA from 1 species
UUUUAAAGUUUUCCCUCAUCAAGUG